UUCUUUUUCUCUAAUAUAAUUUUCCAGAGUUGAUUAGGGAAGCAGAGAACAGUAGCCUAAAUUUGACUGUAAUUUUGGCAGCCACAGGUGAAAAUCUGCCUCAUUCACCCUACACUGUUAAAAUCCAAGCCUGGGUACUACACCUGCUGAGAUGAGCAUGACCCCACAGUUGAAACAAGAUUCAUAAGAUAUCCGGUGGAGGAAGUGUAUUCACUGAAGUUUGACAGCCUGAAAGCAGUGAUUUCACACUGGGAAAAACUGAAACCCCAGGAGACUGGGAAACCCCUGUGGACACUGGGAAAAGGAGAUAAUGGUGAAUGGCAGGAGAAAACAGAAAGCAGCAUUGAAAUGGAGUGACCUGAGGGAAAAGCUUGGA
rnacentral:lncRNA from 1 species